AGAGUUUGAUCAUGGCUCAGAACGAACGCUGGCGGCGUGCCUAAUACAUGCAAGUCGAACGAGAAAGUGGCUUCGGUCAUGAGUAAAGUGGCAGACGGGUGAGUAAUACAUAGGUAAUCUACCUCCGAGAUGGGGACAACCUUCCGAAAGGAGGGCUAAUACCGAAUGAGACCACGGUUGCUUCGGCAGCUGAGGUCAAAGGUGACCUCUACUUGUAAGUUAUCGCUCGGAGAUGAGCUUAUGCACCAUCAGCUAGUUGGUAGGGUAAUGGCCUACCAAGGCUUUGACGGUUAGCUGAUCUGAGAGGUUGAUCAGCCACACUGGAACUGAGACACGGUCCAGACUCCUACGGGAGGCAGCAGUAGGGAAUAUUGCGCAAUGGAGGAAACUCUGACGCAGCGACGCCGCGUGGGUGACGAAGGCUUUCGGGUCGUAAAGCCCUGUCGAGAGGGAAGAAAAACAUAUUGGCUAAUAUCCAAUGUGCUUGACGGUACCUCUAAAGGAAGCACCGGCUAACUACGUGCCAGCAGCCGCGGUAAUACGUAGGGUGCAAGCGUUGUUCGGAAUCAUUGGGCGUAAAGCGCGUGUAGGCUGUUAGGUAAGUCGAUUGUGAAAUCCCUGGGCUCAACCGAGGAAGUGCAGUCGAAACUACCUAGCUAGAAGACGGUAGAGGAAGGUGGAAUUCCUAGUGUAGAGGUGAAAUUCGUAGAUAUUAGGAGGAAUACCGGUGGCGAAGGCGGCCUUCUGGACCGAUUUUGACGCUGAGACGCGAAAGCGUGGGGAGCAAACAGGAUUAGAUACCCUAGUAGUCC
rnacentral:rRNA from 1 species